rnacentral:misc_RNA from 1 species
GUCAACAGCACCAUGGUUUAUGAAGGUGCCUUGGACCAAAGUGGAGCAUCGGUGUCCACGUGUACUGACGUGUUAAGAUCACAUGCUAUUACGGGUAUAGUCAGCGUCACGGUGGCAAUUUGGCAGUUGAGGCAUCUCUUAUGAGUUCUAACUCGCUAAUUAGCUAGUUUUGGUGCAAAUGUCAUUGUCGUUUCGGUCGUGGACCUACGAUUCUGGUGACAUGCACUUUUCCAUGCAUGGGCCAUGUGACCCAUUGGUGACGCGGUACUGAGUCAGGAUGGAUGGAAAAGCUCACCUGUCGAUUUCAUCGCCAUUUGCUUCUUAUUCCCAUUAAAUCCAAUACACUAAUUUGUACGAAUAUAU